AUGAAUGGUAAAACCCAUACACAGAAGAAGUCAAAAUAGUUUAUGUCUCACUAAUAUUUAUAAUUGGUAUCCUAAGAAAUAAAAAUACUCCAUAAUUUUUAAUACAUCUUCAGAUUUAUAAGGAGUACCCUGGGAUAGUACAUCAACAUCAUAAACAUUGUGAAGUUAUGGCAGUGGUAAGGAUUCCAAGUCAAUAUAUCCCUUCAGCCUUGGUCUUUCCCCUCCAUUUGUGGGAAAAAUUGAGUUAUAUUGCGUGAACUGAAAUGUCAAUCUUUGCAUUUCAGUGUACUAUGCCAAAUUUUCUCACCU
rnacentral:lncRNA from 1 species